rnacentral:tRNA from 1 species
AAUUGAAUGCCUGAUAAAAAGGAUUACCUUGAUAGGGUAAAUCAUGUGGCUACCCACUUCAAUUA